rnacentral:rRNA from 1 species
UACGAAGGGGGCGAGCGUUGUUCGGAUUUACUGGGCGUAAAGGGCGCGUAGGCGGCGCGAUCAGUCAGAUGUGAAAGCCCCGGGCUCAACCUGGGAACUGCAUUUGAUACUGGCGAGCUUGAGUGCCGGAGAGGGUCGCGGAAUUCCCGGUGUAGAGGUGAAAUUCGUAGAUAUCGGGAGGAACACCAGUGGCGAAGGCGGCGACCUGGACGGACACUGACGCUGAGACGGCGAAAAGCGUGGGGAGCAAAC